rnacentral:lncRNA from 1 species
UGUUUUAUUGAUUAUGGGUUGAAUGACUGAGAACCCGAUGUUGUAUGUUGUCUUGUUUGGCAUAAAUUACUGGUUUGCUUAUUUGUGUGUGAAUUGAUGAUGCUGACUGAGGAAAAGGGGAAUGAAAGGUUAUGUAAAUUGAUAAUUGUAUAAUGUGGUCAGCCUGACUAGAUAUCCUGGGAGAUGGUGGACGGACCGGGUCCGUAGGGAAUCCUACCGGGA